rnacentral:rRNA from 1 species
AAGGAAUAUUGGUCAAUGGACGCAAGUCUGAACCAGCCAUGCCGCGUGGAGGAUGAAGGCCCUCUGGGUUGUAAACUUCUUUUAUGUGGGCCGAAACCUGGAUAUUCUUAUCCAAUUGACGGUACCAUAGGAAUAAGCACCGGCUAACUCCGUCCCAGCAGCCGCGGUAAUACGGAGGGUGCAAGCGUUAUCCGGAUUCACUGGGUUUAAAGGGUGCGUAGGCGGGUUUGUAAGUCAGUGGUGAAAUCUUCGAGCUUAACUCGGAAACUGCCGUUGAUACUAUAGAUCUUGAAUAUUGUGGAGGUGAGCGGAAUAUGUCAUGUAGCGGUGAAAUGCUUAGAUAUGACAUAGAACACCGAUUGCGAAGGCAGCUUGCUACACAAUCAUUGACGCUGAGGCACGAAAGCGUGGGGAUCAAA